rnacentral:tRNA from 1 species
CAAAAUAUAGCUUAUCAUAAACAAGCACUCAGCUUACACCUGAAAGAUGUCCAUUAAAAAGACUAUUUUGA